AGUGGUUAAGCGCUUGGCUGCUAACCAAGAGGUCGGUGGUUUGAAUCCACCAGCCACUC
rnacentral:tRNA from 1 species